rnacentral:rRNA from 1 species
GACGAACGCUGGCGGCGUGCUUAACACAUGCAAGUCGAACGGAAAGGCCCUGCUUUUGUGGGGUGCUCGAGUGGCGAACGGGUGAGUAACACGUGAGUAACCUGCCCUUGACUUUGGGAUAACUUAAGGAAACUGGGGCUAAUACAGGAUAGGAGCUCCUGCUGCAUGGUGGGGGUUGGAAAGUUUCGGCGGUUGGGGAUGGACUCGCGGCUUAUCAGCUUGUUGGUGGGGUAGGGGCUUACCAAGGCUUUGACGGGUCGCCGGCCUGAGUGGGUGACCGGCCACAUUGGGACUGAGAUACGGCCCAGACUCCUACGGGAGGCAGCAGUGGGGAAUAUUGCACAAUGGGCGGAAGCCUGAUGCAGCAACGCCGCGUGCGGGGUGACGGCCUUCGGGUUGUAAACCGCUUUCGCCUGUGACGAAGCGUGAGUGACGGUAAUGGGUAAAGAAGCACCGGCUAACUACGUG